UGUGAUUCUCCCAGGAGUGCACCAUGGAAGAUGUGCAUCACAGGUCUGAGUUUCCAUAAGUUUGGACGGUAUGCUUUUAGCCAAUGAAUGAAGUCAUGGCAAAGGCUGACAUUUGGGUAAGCAGACAGACCCAAUUAGACAAUGAGAAGGCUUGAGUAGGGUGCCCAUUGUCUGUGCUCCUUUCCUAUAAAAGUUAGUUGUAGAUGCCACAGGAAAGCCCAAUAUUAGCAUGGCCACAACUCAAAACACAGCAGGAGUUUUGGACUACAGCUCUCAUUAUUCUCUUCUAGUUUAUCUAAUGGACAAAGAUGAUGGAAAUUGUAUAGCAGCAACAUCUGGGGACUCAAGGUUGAAGAAUAGUCUAGGCUAACCAUCUGCAACCUGGUGUCCUCCAGAUGUUGUGGAUUUCGACUCCCAUCAGGUCCUGCCAGCAUGACCAACAAUCAGGGACAUGGAAGUAUGAACAGCAUACAGUGGUACCUCGGGUUACGAACGCUUUGGGUUACAAACAUUUUGGGUUACAAACUUCGCUAACCCGGAAAUAGUACCUCUGGUUGAAAACUUUGCUCCAGGAUGAGAACAGAAAUUGUGCGCAGGCGGUGCAGUGGCAGCAGGAGGCCCCAUUAGUGAAAGCACACCUCAGGUUAAGAAUUGUUUCGGGAUAAGAAUGGACCUCCGAAACGAAUUAAGUUUGUAACCAGAGGUACCACUGUACUCUUUUGUAUAUAUGUACAUAUGUAUGUAUGUACAUGCACGCACGCAUGCACGUAUACACACACACCACAUACCAGACUUCUUCCUGGGACCUGAAAUUGUCCCAGGAAGGACAACUGCUGCUCCAGUUUUGUACUGUGUUGGUUCCAUAGCUGUCAACUUUCAGAUUUGAAAAUAAGGGAUCAGCAGCCUCAAAAAUAAGGGAUCAGCUCCCUCACCUGUCCCAGGGACAGUCUAUGGGAUAUCUAACAAUCCGGGAUAGCAGCGGGAAGCAGCGGGAAACGGCGCUGGAAUAAGGGAAUUUCCUGCAAAAAAAGGGAAGGUUGGCAGCUAUGGUUGGUUCUGGCUAACAUGGGUCUGAUGGUUGGAGAGCACUUUGGCAACAGAGACAAUUUGGACCAAUAGAAAACAGAGCAACAAACAGGAAGAGCUAGUCCAUCCAGCAUGUCAUCUCCUUGUCCCACCAUCUUUGACCCAGGUCCAAUCUGACCCUGCAAUGGUGGCAGGUGGCAUCAUUGUCAUUAUUCUGCUGGUGCCACUGCAGCUGCCAUGAGCAGUGAAGAAGAGAGUACUAAGGCAUUCACCAGACUUUGCUCUCACCACCACCACUACUCUGCCAUGUGGCCCAUGGGAAGCUCCAAGGCAGGGAAGUAAUCAGGAGUGGCAAAGGAAGAAUUUGCAUUUUUCCUCCCACUGUUGGAAACAUACAGUGCUAUGGGCCAAUCCCUGGUGUGCCUGCAAGUGUUCUGUAUCCAUGCACAGAAUAAUAAAACAAAAAUUAAUUUUAAACAAAUGCAUUCACUUAAUUAAACAAAUGAAAUUAAUUAUUAAUUUUAAAUACCCAAUCUUUUCUUCCUGCCUUCAGGUGCUUUUUGUGAGGGAGAGACUAGAAAACAAAAUUUCAGCUACAUGCCCUUCUACAUAAGCAAACAUUAAAGAAGAAUAGCCUGUUUUCCAGUUGCAGGCAAAUUUAAGAUUCUGAUAGUCUAGCCAAUAAGUGGAACAUAGUGAAUUCUGUAACUUAAAUGUUAAUGGCCACUAGAAUGUGCUUCAUCAUUGGGCUUCAGGCUUUUUUUUAGCCUGAUGCUACUGGUAAGACAGUUCCUGAAGUCUACUUUGUAUAAUUCCUAACUUGAUUGGCCUUUGCAGCAGGGCUAGUUGGCUUAUUAAGAACACACUAAUUGAAGAAUUCUUGUCAUCCAUCAACUGACUGUCUCAGAGGGUAGGCCACUGAUCAUUGGGUUAACUAGGAUCUAUUGAACACAGCUUAGCAUUGUUAAAUCAGUGAACAGCUUAUUAUUAAACCACAGAAUAGCCACAGAACAGUAUGGCAGACAGUAGCAGACAAGGGGAAAGAGGGAUGAUUAAGAAGAGAGUACUAAUACAUUGAAAAGUAGGAAAGCCACCCACACCACUGAGCAGCCUUCAAUGACUGCCAACUUGAGAGCUUUUAAAGAGGUGUUAGAACUCUGGUAAACCUAAAGUCAGAAUAAGAAAAGUUGGAAGAAAUAAGUCUCACAGUCCUCUGUUAUUAUAGUGCUGUACUGGUUUGUUCUCUCUUUUCCAGGGUGUAGAUUGGUGCUGCAGGCCUGCAUGCGACCGGAGAGAGGACAACAUCAGCAUCAUGCAUUGUCUGGGGAGAGAGAUCUUCAAGAUUUAAGGACAAGGGACAGGGAUCUGUUAAAAAGGGC